GCUACAUGUCGUCGUGUGAAUAUUAUAAUGUUAUAAGUCCAUUUUACAGUGGAAAUGAGUUAUGGGUGUCAAUAGUUUCGUGCUGCAAUGUUUUAUCUCCCUAUAUAUUUAACCAGGCUUAAUUAUCUUCAAAUUUGCCUAAAACAGUAGUAUUAAAAUGAUAUAUCUCCAAAUACAAUGUUGUAUUCAGAAUUAUAGUGAUCUAAGUACAAACCAAUGAAAUUGACGGAUUCUGGGUCACAUGACAAAAGUUUACCAAUGGAGAUAGUAUGAAAUGAGGGCAUUAUAAUUUAAUAGGACUUUAUGGCACUUUCAUACAUAAAUAUAGUCUUUACAUGUUGUUAAUAUUAUUGACAAAAUAUAGAAAUUUUCAAAUGGUCCAAGUGACAGCUUUUUAAUGAAUAAUAGCAAAAAAUAUACAUUUUGUUUAGCUGAAACAUAUACAGAUCCCUUUCAUAUCAUGUCAUGAAC
rnacentral:lncRNA from 1 species